rnacentral:rRNA from 1 species
UACGUAGGGUGCAAGCGUUGUCCGGAAUUAUUGGGCGUAAAGAGCUCGUAGGCGGUUUGGCAAGUCGGGUGUGAAAACUCCGGGCUCAACUCGGAGACGCCACUCGAUACUGCUAUGACUCGAGUCCGGUAGGGGAGUGCGGAAUUCCUGGUGUAGCGGUGAAAUGCGCAGAUAUCAGGAGGAACACCGGUGGCGAAGGCGGCACUCUGGGCCGGAACUGACGCUGAGGAGCGAAAGCGUGGGGAGCGAACAGG